rnacentral:lncRNA from 1 species
CUUCCUUACAAAGGUAUAGAGAAGUUUGAAGCCAGAUAGACAGCCUUCAGCACCUAUACAGAGAACUGACCCUCUGACAAAGGAUUCUGCUGGAACAAGAGGUCAGGUGAGCCAUGUGUAGGCUGUGACUCUGACAGGAGUGGCCCAGGACGUCUGUCUUACUGUGGGUGUGGGUAUGAGGCCUCCUGAAGGAGGGAUCAAGCCCAGGCUGUCUGUUUUGAGCCUGGCAUCCUUGAAGCACAGUAGCUCUCAGGUAGCUGUGUGGCCAGCAUGAGUGACUUUUCCCUCUGGACUCUGCAGGCCCAUCACUGCAGGCAGAGGCAUGCUGGAGGAAGAGGGGCAGAGAAGAAUUGACAGAACUUCCCCAGCAGAGGCUGCCAGAGGCCACACAGUUCCUCACACUGGUGUCACCUGCUUUAAGGGUAUGGGGACAAUAUGAAGAUGCCGAGAGGCAGGCACGUGGCAUACCGCAAAUGGCAACUUACAGGAUGCCCUGGAGACUCAGGUUUUUCUUUAAAAGUGUGUCUGAGGAAGUGAGAGUGUGGCCCCUCCUUACCCGUUGGAACAGUUCUCCUCCAGGCAGGCCCAAGAAAGUUGUGGAAGGGCAGCCAAGCAAGAAACAAGGAUUUAAGCAUUUUUAAACCAGUCCUAUUAGG